rnacentral:piRNA from 1 species
UGGAAACACCUCUCACGUUGGUCCUGUCCUG